UCCCUUUUAUAGAUGCAUUUUUCCUUUAAUUUCUUUCUCUUGAGCGAUGUGGGAAUGGAAACCUCAAAAAAUCUCAUUUCCUCGAGUGUACAAAGGAUAGUUAUUUCUCCUUGAUUCAGUUGCUUCAAUCUAGGAAGAUUCUUCUCCCUGAUUCCAACUCCGACGCCGUGUAAAGCUGAUUUUAACGAGGAACCUCAGUUUCCCGUCGACACAAACCUCAUAGGUUAGCUCUUCAAAACUGAUUCCAAUGGUAGUUUCAACUACUAAUCCAGAGCUCUCUGAUUGGUAUAAUACGCUUGUCGAUCUGUACCAAAGGAAGCCAUAAGCUAUCUGGAAGGGUUAAUGGGAAAUCGAGUUUCAGGCUUGGUGUUGAUAAAAAAAAUUUGCUGCUGUAAAUCAUCGUUAUUGCAAUUCCUGGAAGCAAGAUUCCAAUCCUGAUCAAACAAUAAAUACAGAAUAACUUUGAAGUUACCUCACAAAUGACAUACUUGGGUGAUGGGUUUUGUGGUGUGUGGUGUGUUUCGUGGGAACUGGAAGUCUUAUCUUUCUUGUCCUAGCAUCACCUUGAACAUUGUAAUUGAUGGAAAGUUAAUUCCUAAGUCAAAGGUUGAUUCUUUGAUAUUUCGAGGCUGCAAUGGCCGGUGAUGGUGAGUGAGGUGUUUUAAAUUCAUCAACAAAUUUGUUUUUUAGUUCUAUUUUCACGAGACCUGUAUAUUGUUAGUUUAAUCUAUAAAAUAUCUUAAUAAUGGUCAAUUUUAUUCAUAUUA